AUUGAACGCUGGCGGCAUGCCUUACACAUGCAAGUCGAACGGUAACAGGUCUUCGGAUGCUGACGAGUGGCGAACGGGUGAGUAAUACAUCGGAACGUGCCUAGUAGUGGGGGAUAACUACUCGAAAGAGUGGCUAAUACCGCCUGAGAUCUACGGAUGAAAGCAGGGGAUCGCAAGACCUUGUGCUACUAGAGCGGCCGAUGGCAGAUUAGGUCGUUGGUGGGAUAACAGCUUACCAAGCCAACGACGUGUAGCUGGCCUGAGAGGACGAUCAGCCACACUGGGACUGAGACACGGCCCAGACUCCUACGGGAGGCAGCAGUGGGGAAUUUUGGACAAUGGGCGCAAGCCUGAUCCAGCAAUGCCGCGUGCAGGAUGAAGGCCUUCGGGUUGUAAACUGCUUUUGUACGGAACGAAAAGCCCCGGGUUAAUACCCUGGGGUCAUGACGGUACCGUAAGAAUAAGCACCGGCUAACUACGUGCCAGCCGCCGCCGUAA
rnacentral:rRNA from 1 species